CACAGUUCCUGCACAUACAGACUCUAACCAUGGAAUGUACCUGGGUCUUUCUCUUCCUCCUAUCAGUAACUGCAGGUGUCCACUCUCAAGUUCAGUUGCAGCAGUCUGGGACUGAGCUGGCCAGACCUGGGGCCUCAGUGAAGCUGUCCUGCAAGGCCUCUGGCUACACCUUCAGUAGCUACUAUAUACAUUGGGUAAAGCAGAGUCCUGGACAGGGUCUGGAAUGGAUUGGAGCUAUUUAUCCUGGAAGUGGUUAUACUGUGUACAAUGAGAAGUUCAAGAGCAAAACCACAUUAACUGCAGACAAAUCCUCCAGCACAGCCUACAUGGAGCUCAGAAGCCUGAUAUCUGAUGACUCUGCCAACUAUUUCUGUGCAAGACACAGUGUUGCAACCACAUCCUGA